UCCCACUUGACUUCAGUUGUCACAUUGACUGGUGCAAAGGUGACCACCAUUCCAGGUUUGAGCACACCAGUCUCCACUC